AUUGCGAAGGCAGCUUUCUGGAUCAUUACUGACACUGAGGAACGAAAGCAUGGGUAGCGAAGAGGAUUAGAUACCCUCGUAGUCCAUGCCGUAAACGAUGUGUGUUAGACGUUGGAAAUUUAUUUUCAGUGUCGCAGGGAAACCGAUAAACACACCGCCUGGGGAGUACGACCGCAAGGUUAAAACUCAAAUGAAUUGACGGGGACCCGCACAAGUAGUGGAGCAUGUGGUUUAAUUCGAAGAUACGCGCAGAACCUUACCAACACUUGACAUGUUCGUCGCGACUCUAAGAGAUUAGAGUUUUCGGUUCGGCCGGACGAAACACAGGUGCUGCAUGGCUGUCGUCAGCUCGUGUCGUGAGAUGUUGGGUUAAGUCCCGCAACGAGCGCAACCCUCACUUUUAGUUGCCAUCAUUAAGUUGGGCACUCUGAAAGAACUGCCAGUGAUAAGCUGGAGGAAGGUGGGGAUGACGUCAAGUCCUCAUGGCCCUUACGUGUUGGGCUACACACGUGCUACAAUGGUAUCUACAACAGGAAGCAAGACUGCGAAGUUAAGCAAAUCCCUAAAAGAUACCUCAGUUCGGAUUGCACUCUGCAACUCGAGUGCAUGAAGCUGGAAUUACUAGUAAUCGUGGAUCAGCGUGCCACGGUGAAUGCGUUCCCGGGUCUUGUACACACCGCCCGUCACACCAUGGGAGUUGGUUCUACCUUAAGGCAAGGUUUCAAACCCUUGACCACGGUAUAGUCAGCGACUGGGGUGAAGUCGUAACAAGGUAACC
rnacentral:rRNA from 1 species